rnacentral:rRNA from 1 species
UGGGGAAUUUUGCGCAAUGGGCGAAAGCCUGACGCAGCAACGCCGCGUGCGGGAAGAAGGCCCUCGGGUUGUAAACCGCUUUCAGCAGGAACGAAACUGACGGUACCUGCAGAAGAAGCCCCGGCCAACUACGUGCCAGCAGCCGCGGUGAUACGUAGGGGGCAAGCGUUGUCCGGAUUCAUUGGGCGUAAAGAGCUCGUAGGCGGUUCGGUAAGUCAGGUGUAAAAACUCCAGGCUCAACUUGGAGAGGCCACCUGAUACUGCCGUGACUAGAGUCCGGUAGAGGAGCAUAGAAUUCCUGGUGUAGCGGUGAAAUGCGCAGAUAUCAGGAGGAACACCAGCGGCGAAGGCGGUGCUCUGGGCCGGAACUGACGCUGAGGAGCGAAAGCGUGGGGAGCGAACAGG